UUCUUAGUGGCGGACGGGUGAGUAACGCGUGGGUAACCUGCCCUGUACAGGGGGAUAACACUUAGAAAUAGGUGCUAAUACCGCAUAAGCGCACGGGACUGCAUGGUCUUGUGUGAAAAACUCCGGUGGUGUGAGAUGGACCCGCGUCUGAUUAGCUGGUUGGCGGGGUAACGGCCCACCAAGGCGACGAUCAGUAGCCGGCCUGAGAGGGUGGACGGCCACAUUGGGACUGAGACACGGCCCAAACUCCUACGGAAGGCAGCAG
rnacentral:rRNA from 1 species